rnacentral:misc_RNA from 1 species
CGCCAGAAGAUUGAGGUAGCCAGCGUUAUGGUGCAAGCAUAGUAUAAUGGCCCCUUCAGAAGCUCCCUGUAGUCUCCAUGUCUGCUCAUUGAUUUGACCAUGGCUUCAUUUUGCCAUAUUCCAAGUCCCAUCAGCAACAUCCGAAUGAUGUUAACCCCCGGAGCUAGCGCUGCCAGGAACGGUGCUUGGAUUCUAGAGCUGAACAGAGGCCAGAAAAGUACGAAUACCAGACCAAUGCUGAUAUGCACAAGCUUCCGGUUCAAUUUCUGAUCAAACACUCCCCUUUUGGCAACCUCCUCCCAGAAUCUG